CGGCGUCACUUCCCGCGCGAGCCGCCGCCUCCCGCGGCAUUGUGGGAAAGCGGAAAGGUUGGCCGGCGGGGAGGGGGGGGAAAAAAGAUGGCGGCGCAGGGAAGGGAGCGGGCGGGCGGCGGUAAGGAGGAGCGGGGUUCGGGGCGUCCGGACUCGGAGCUGCUGCUGCUGCACCCGGAGCUGCUCUCGGAGGAGUUCCUGCUCCUCACGCUGGAGCAGAAAAAUAUACUAGUCGAAAAUGAUGUAAAGAUGGACAAAGAUGGUCUCACUAAUCUCUAUAUUCAACAUGCCAUUCCCCUGCCUCAGCGUGACUUACCAAAAAGUAGAUGGGGGAAAAUGAUGGAAAAGAAAAGACAGCAAAAUGAGUUGAAAAGUGAGAAUAAAAGUGUUACAACAGUGGAAGGUUUAAGGAAACGACCACUAAUUGUGUUUGAUGGCAAUUCAACGAGUACAAGCAUAAAGGUAAAGAAGACAGAGAAUGGAGCUGCUGAUCGCCUAAAACCUCCUCCAGCUGGAAGCACCACCAACACUGUUAGAAGAUUAUCAGUUCCUUCAAAUGCCUCAACAUAUGUUUCAGCCUCCAGUUUAUCAGAGGACACUAAACUGGGAAUGAGGAAUAAUGAGGCUAAGCAGAACAAUGUUUCAAAGACUAACAGCAGUGUGUUGGCUAGUCUGAAGGCGUACCCUUUGUCUCCAGUAGCAGGAACUACUGUUGUGAAGUUAAAGAGAGCCGUUCCAAAAGAAGAAUCUGAUUUGCCGGAAUUGGCAAGCUAGAGGAAGGAACUGGAUGUGAAAAUCUGGAGAGCUGCCUAGAUUGUGGGUCUGAAUGAGAAGCCAUAACAACAAACCGUACUAGUUGAAGGGAGAGGCCAGAGGUCGAGUGCUCAUUUUGAGCCACGGUGAUCUUACUCCGGUGCCUGGGCUUCUAUAAGAUGAUGAGAAAGACAUGCUGAGAUCUUGAACAGAAGGGUGCUGUUCUCAGGUAGAAGACUGAUGGCUGAGGUGUUAACCAUAAAGAAUGACCUAAAGCCUACGGAAGCAAAGAAGAAAAUCCAGCAUGUUACAUGGCCGUGAAGUAGCUAAUGGUGCUUGAAACAUAAAUGUUACUUCCAUAUUUUCAAACAGAUAAGUCAUAUUUAAACAGUUUAAGUACAAUUCUUUUUAAACCUUACAGGGAUUCAGAUUGCUGUGAAGUUUUAACAAGUUUAAAAGUUCCCUGUUGUAAAGCUGGAGUCAUUAUCACCAGUCACCUUAAGAGUGUCUACUCUUGUACACCAGGUAGUUCAUUACUUCUUUAAAAGCUGGUAAUAUUACAAUAUACUAAAACCCCCACUUUUAGUUUUCGAGAUUAUUAUAGUUCAUCUCCUGCAUGUCACUAUGAUUCACACAUAUAAAUAUAUAUUUUUUUUGUUUUGGUAAGAUUCAGUUUUGUUCCACUUCUGGUUAAAUAGUUAAAAUAGCUAUUGAGAUUCAGAGUGCUCCCAAGAGCCUUCUUGGCUUUAAGAAGAUAACUCAUUUAGAUGAGAAAACUGACCAUUCUGCUGAUAAGAUAGCCCGAGACAAAAUUCUUUCCUUUUCGCUGCACAGGAGUGUAGAAUUUACAGUGCAAGUUAGGUUGAUAAUAAGAGAUGAACUAUUUUAACAGCAUUACUUCAAAUUGAAGUUUCUCUUAUUGACAUAUGAAAUAACAAAUGCACAGAUGGAAGUAUGUUAUUAGACUGUUUGAUACAAAUUUUUGAGAGGAAGUAGUGAAUGGAUUAGUGCCAUGUUCUCUUAAAUACACAGGCAUAUUUUAUACAUGCAUAAGUGUAAAAAUGUGCCAAUGUAGCAAAUUUGCUUGUUUUCCUGGUUACAGUCAUGCUUAUGAAAUACAGGGAGAACCUGUGGAAUGCAGGCCAGUGCUUUCUUGACUUGGAGAGGGACAGGGAUAGGAAGACAAAGAAGUACCUUGAUCAUUAGUGUGUAUAGUUGCACUCUUAAAAAAAAACAA